CUCAGAGUAUGUGUGUGUCCCUCAGUGGUCCUUCCCCAACAGCAAGGCCUUCUCAUUCUUGACUUCUUAUCCCCAUGAAUACACCGGGGUGACUCAGGGAGAUCCAGAGAAAGGUUUGUUUCGCCACCACAGGCUGGGUGGCUGUAAUGAGAAGCAGUUCUGGAGGCUGGGAAAUCCACGGUCAAGAAACUGGCCCAUCUGGUGUCUGAUCUUGGCUGAUCCAGACACUACGAGAGAAGCAGGAAGAGAUGGUACCUACCAGUCAAGCUGGCCUCUUUGGAAAAUGGAAGCCCAGGUGUCAGCAGGAAGGCUCCACCAAGAUGGUCCAGUCCUCACCAGGGACAGGAGCACAGAGAAAAGAUUGCUGCUGAAGCAUCAGAAAUGGACCUCCACACUCAGAUGGUCAAAGAUGGUGGCUAGAUGUAAGACUUUCAAGGCAUCAAUCCCACGGACAUGAUGGGGCUACGUUCCUUCUGCUUCCUUUACAUGGACCAUUUAGGUAUUUCUCCACAAACUUACCUGGCUCACAUCCUAUGCCUCCAUAUAUGUAGUGCUACUACUUGUGAUCUUACUCCCCCUUGUCUUGUGUGGUCCAGAACAGGGCACAGUCCUCUCAAUGAAUUACUCCUUCUCUGCCCAGGGUCUCUGAGUAAUAAAUCUUUGAUGGUACUCCCUACUGUAGUGAUACACUGAAUUUGAGUCCUUUACCCGAAGAGCCAGAGAGCCACCUGAGACAGGGUAUUUCCCUGGAAACACAAAGUCAGGUCUCCAGUGCCAAAAUGAUGACCAGGAUGGUGUAAAUUGUCUAUGUGGAAGGCAAGAGGCCAUUAUAAACAAAUUUCUCCUUUGUCACAGGUUGGACAUCUAAGCAUUAGCCCCCUCUGCAGGUGACAGUACCCUCUGAAAGGCACACUGUGAACAGCCAUGUCCAGGUUACCUUUUUCCCUGUUAGGCCAGAAUAGCUCUUUGCUCUGGUACUAUGCCAUGUGGGUUGGCUUCUAACUCACAAUCCCUCAAGGACUCAUGUACUGGGAAUACAGGUAUGCACGGCCGUAUCUGGCUUUGCUCCAGGACUCCCUGACUCAAGCCUUUUUUUCUAAACAUACACAAAGCACUCACUAGGGGCUUUCUCUGAGGCCUUUCGUAUGCUUCCUCUCUCAGUGCCUUGGCCUUCUCAUACAUUGAGGGAAGGAAAAGGGAAUAAUCUCAAUGGUUCCCUUGACUAUAAGCUGUUGAGAUUUGACGACAUUCUUCAACAAAAGCAAAAGGGUUCAUUUAUCA